GGUUAAGCGACUAAGCGUACACGGUGGAUGCCCUGGCAGUCAGAGGCGAUGAAGGACGUGCUAAUCUGCGAUAAGCGUCGGUGAGGUGAUAUGAACCGUUAUAACCGGCGAUUUCCGAAUGGGGAAACCCAGUGUGUUUCGACACACUAUCAUUAACUGAAUCCAUAGGUUAAUGAGGCGAACCGGGGGAACUGAAACAUCUAAGUACCCCGAGGAAAAGAAAUCAACCGAGAUUCCCCCAGUAGCGGCGAGCGAACGGGGAGGAGCCCAGAGCCUGAAU
rnacentral:rRNA from 1 species